AUUGAACGCUGGCGGCAGGCCUAACACAUGCAAGUCGAACGAGUGGCGGACGGGUGAGUAAUGUCUGGGAAACUGCCUGAUGGAGGGGGAUAACUACUGGAAACGGUCGCUAAUACCGCAUACCAUCGGAUUUGCCCAGAUGGGAGUAGCUAGUAGGUGGGGGAAAGGCUCACAUAGGCGACGAUCCCUAGCUGGUCUGAGAGGAUGACCAGACACAAUGGAACUGAGACAGGGUCCAGACUCCUACGGGAGGCAGCAGGGGGGAAGAUUGCACAAUGGGCGCAAGCCUUAUGCAGCCAUGGCGCGUGUAUGAAGAAGGCCUUCGGGUUGUAAAGUACUUUCAGCGAGGAGGCGUUACUCGCAGAAGAAGCACCGGCUAACUCCGUGCCAGCAGCCGCGGUAAUUC
rnacentral:rRNA from 1 species